UACAGAGGUGGCAAGCGUUGUUCGGAAUUACUGGGCGUAAAGGGCUCGUAGGCGGCCAACUAAGUCAGACGUGAAAUCCCUCAGCUUAACUGGGGAACUGCGUCUGAUACUGGAUGGCUUGGAUUCGGGAGAGGAAUGCGGAAUUCCAGGUGUAGCGGUGAAGUGCGUAGAGAUCCGGAGGAACACCAGUGGCGAAGGCGACCCGCUGGGUCACACCUGACGCUGAGACGCGACAGCAUGGGGAGCGAACGGG
rnacentral:rRNA from 1 species